UUCACAUCUGGAUCUAGUCAGUGUGAGGCUGAGUGCAAAAGCCAACAGAGAACCAAGGAAUACCAUAGCAAGGGGGGCAGACAUGACCAGCGCCUGCCUUUCGUCAUAAAUACAACCUUCACCUCAAGCUCAGCAGGUUGCUCAGUGGUAAAGAAUCUGUCUGCCAAUGCAGGAGACCCAAGAAAUGCAGGUUGGAUCCCUGUGUUGGGAAGAUCCCAUGGAGUAGGAAAUGGCAACUCACUCCAGGAUUCUUGGCUGGAAAAUCCCAUGGACGAUGGAGUCUGGCGGGCUCACUGAGUCAGACAGGACUGAGCAUGGGCACGAAUUUCCUCUUUAAAGGCCCCACCUCCAAAUAUCACCACACCAUCACAUUGGGCUCCAACUAACGAAUUUGGGGUAUUGGACGGGAAGGACACAUUCAGUUCAUGGCACCUUUUUUCAUUUUUCUAAAAUGUCUAUAAGCAUGUUGGAGUGUCACAGUUAUUUUACCAGAUCUCAUCUUCUAUAGUUUUGGGGGAAUUUACUAUGAAGGAAGACCACAUAGGCAGAGUUGAAGCUUAAGGCAGGAACCUCCUGCUGGUCAGCCACAAGGUCCAGUGGGGGAGGGGAGGGAAGGCAAGACAGUCACGACAAAAACAGUGCCUAAUGUUCUGUCAUUUUAAACUCUGUUCAGCAUGAGGUUUCACAAAGCCCUCAGCCCUUCUCCCCACUCCAAGUGUUACACAUACUCCAGUGGUGUUUAUUUAAAUUAU